GGGCUAGCGAGACGAGUCUCACAUCACCUGGUGAUCUUGGGCUGUGUGUGUGAUUGGACUGACGAGGACGUCAGGGUCUUAACGUGUGACGCACUGGACCUUUGCAAAUUGCGAGGUUCGAGUGUUUGGAUGUAUUUCGAGCUUUUCCACACUUGGUGGAGGGUUGUAGAAUGUUUUCCGACCUAAAAAGUUUGAAAACUGGAAUUCUGGACAAGUCCUGAGAGUUUUUACUCUCGGGGACCGGUCCCUGGAAGAAGAGACCGGUCCCCCAGUGAGCAGUGCUGCGGCAGCCUUGAGGCAACCGGUCCCUGGCGGGCGAGACCGGUCCCCGAGCGCGUCUACGCAGUGAGAGACCGGUCCCGCGCAGGGAGAGACCGGUUCCCGAACGUUGGUUCUCCGGGUUCGCAGCGAGAGACCGGUCCCUGCUGGGGAGAGACCGGUCCCUCUGGGCGAAAACUGCCGAGACCGGGCUGAGGCAAUAUUGGAUUUUUGGAGGACCUAACUGGAUUUUGUUACAAUAGAGGGUCUAUAUGACCCCUCCACCCUCUUUUCUCCUCAUUUCUCUUCUCUCAACUCUCUCCACCCCCCUUGGUAGAAGAGAAGAAGAAGGAGAAGGAGAAGAAGGAAGGAAGAAGAAGAAGAUUGAGAGCUUUUAGAGGACUUGGAGCAUCUUCCCCACCCUCUCUUCUUCCUUCGUGCUUGGAGCUUGGACUAGGAGCUUGCAAGAGUGAAGAUUUUGGGGCUAGAUUUGAUUGGAUUAGAACCUUCCUUCGGCUUGGAUUGGAAGGGUUCUAGCUCUCUUUUGGAGCUUGAGAGAGAUUUUCUACUCUUGAGGUGAGUUUUGACCAUUUUUGCUUCUAGGUUAAUGUUUGAUAUUAUAUGAUGAUCGUAAUGCCCGCGUAUCUUGUCACUCAAUAUUUCUAGGGUAUUUCGAGACUUGGGGACAACUUUGUUCGGCGAAACGAGGCGCUACGCGACGGUUCGGUGGGUUUGACCUAGCCUAUGAUAUAAGAAAUGCUCAUAUUUGGCAAAUAUGUCUCGUAAAAUAGAAACUCAUGCAUUUCCAUGUUAAAUGUAUUUAAUAUGAAUUUUAGAAUGCUUAGCAUGCAUAUAUUAUGUAUGGUGAAAUUUUAGACCCCUAUGUGGUAGAGUGCAUGCAUGUGAGACUUAGCAUUCUAGUUAUGANCCCCCCACACACAUAAAGGCCUCUCACUGUGCAGCUCCCACCCCCCCAACACACAAAGAGGCCUCUCACUGUGCAGCUCCCCUCCCACAGAGGCAUCUAAACACCUCAAUCUCUCAACCCAGCAACCCCUCUCUCUCACUGAUUAUUCUCUCUGUCUUUCUCACAGGGCACGCUUGGUGAACGCUUUGGCAUUGUAGUCGCGCCGACCGCGUUAGCAAAAUGGUAAUUUCAUCUCUUACCCUCUCCUUUGUUGUAUGUUAGAAAUGUGCUAUGUCAUGAGUUUAAUAUUUAUGUACAUUUUAUUAUAUUACUUUAGAACUCUAUAUCUGGCGACUGUGUUCCUUUCUAUAUCUAUUGGGACGAAAAUUUUGUUGAGAACAAUAAUGUACCACGAUAUAUUGGUGGCCGUAAAGAAUUGGUUGAGGUCCGACGCGAUAUCACAUUUUGGGAAUUUGAGAUGGAAAUAUACAAUAUUACUAAUUGUGAUCGAGUGGAAGACCGCCUACGCAUCACGGUGAAAUGUCCAAUAGGAGGCGAAUGGGAAUUAGUUAACGUAUCAAAUGACAAUACACUAUCUGGUGUGAUAAGUAUUUUUUCGUUCCAUGGAUGUAUAAAAUUAUUCAUGGAGAAAUAUGUGUCGACGACACAUGACCGUCCAAAUACCGUUAAUUAUACGGAAAUACGUCGUAGUAGCAAUUAUCAAAGGAAUUACGUCAAUCGCGAACGAGUUCGUACAUCAAGGUAUAAAGUAAUGAUCUUUAUAAAUGUUUUUUGUGAUUACUCAAUUAAUUUAGGUGCGUGAAAUUAAUAACUUUGUCUUGUAAGUGUUACAGAGAAUUUGGAGUCCCAUGUGUGCCAGUUAGUGCAUCAUUGCCAUCUACUAUGAUGGAUACGUCUCCGUUGGAUGCUCAAAAUGAGUGGUAGGUGAUUGUAUGAUUUAGUUACAUGAAAAUUUGACCAAUGCGAAUAGUUAAUCUUAAAUAUCUUUACAGGUCUACUAUCCCUCCUUAUCAAAGUGAAGGUCCAUCAUCUAGUGUUCAUGAAUGGACAGAUUGGGAAAUGAGAACUGCUAUCCCUCUUUAUCAAAGUGAAAGUCCAUCAUCUAGUGUUCAUGAAUGGACGGAUUGGGAAAUGAGAACUACUAUCCCUGAAAUGAGAACUACUAUCCCUCCUUAUCAAAAUGAAGGUCCAUCAUCUAGUGUUCAUGAAUGAACGGAUUGGGAAGUGAGAACUACUAUCCCUCCUAAUCAAAGUGAAGGUCUAUCAUCUAGUGUUCAUGAAUGGACCAAUCGGGAAGUGACUACAACUGAUAAUGAGGACGUAAUUGGAAGUGAAUGUAACACACUGGACCUUUGCAAAUUGCGAGGUUCGAGUGUUUGGAUGUGUUUCUAGUUUUUCCACACUUUGUGGAGGGUUGUAGAAUGUUUUCCGACCAAAAAGUUCGAAACUGGAAUUCUGGACAAGUCCUGAGAGUUUUUACUCUCGGGGACCGGUCCCUGAAAGGAGAGACCGGUCCCCCAGUGAGCAGUACUGCGGCAGCCCUGAGGCAACCGGUCCCUGGCGGGCGAGACCGGUCCUCGAGCGCGUCUUCGCAGUGAGAGACCGGUCCCGCGCAGGGAGAGACCGGUUCCCGAACGUUGGUUUUUCGGGUUCGCAGCGAGAGACCGGUCCCUGCUGGGGAGAGACCGGUCCCUCUGGGCGAAAACUGCCCAGACCGGGCUGUGGUAAUAUUGGAUUUUUGGAGGACCUAGCUAGAUUUUGUUACAAUAGAGGGUCUAUAUGACCCCUCCAUCCUCUCUUCUCCUCAUUUCUCUUCUCUCAACUCUCUCCACACCCUUGGUAGAGGAGAAGAAGAAGAAGGAGAAGGAGAAGAAGGAAGGAAGAAGAAGAAGAUUGAGAGCUUUUAGAGGACUUGGAGCAUCUUCCCCAC
rnacentral:lncRNA from 1 species